GGUUUCCAGUCAAUCCAUGACCAAAGGUUUGACUAUUAAUCUAUGAUACAGAGGAAAUGUCCAAUUCACAAAAGCAGUGCAUUCCAAACUCUUGGGAGUUGAUUGUUUUGGGAACUGAGGAUAUUUUUCCUCCUCCUUAUAAUAAACAAUAUUACAAACGAUGGUGAGAUUUCCAGACCAGCCCCACAAAAGCUCCCUUGACUCAUAACAUUGUCGAGGCCCUGGACUUUUGCAGUGAAAACUGGUAGAAAGUAGUUUUGUUGUAAUACCAGUAAACAAACUCAAAUGUGGACACCAUCGUUUCCUUUCUCCUGAAUUCUAUUUAAUGAAACAACCCAUUUAAUGAAAGAAAGAUAAGGAGAAAGAUAAGAGACUUUUUAGGAAGUGACUCCAAUUUAUAAGAAUUUUGGGGGCUGAUAGCAGCCGUCUAUGGUUAUUUUGUCUGUUCAGUUUGGAUACCUUUUUCCUUUUCCUUCAUAAAUGCAAGACACAAAGGAGCCAAGACAGGGCAGAUUUGGGGCUUACUUAGGAAGACAGCAAAGGAUGGAGGAGGAGAAGCAAAAAGUUUGAAAGAGAGUUCCUUGCUGGGGCGAUUCGAGCACAUCAUUGGGGGGCGGGGUAGGUUGCCUAAAUCAGCCUUUACUGAUUUGCUAAGGAAACUGAGGAGAAGAUGUUAGAUCCAAGUGCCCCUGACCCUUGAGUCCCAAGAGAGGGACUAGGAGAGGCCACUAUUUAGUCAGACAGUUCCCUCUCUGGCCAUAAGGUGGCGCCAACAGCCCAGACAGUCGGUCCCGUGGGGGCGUGGCUUGCAGGGGGAGGAGCUCUCCACGUGGAAGCCACGUUUUCCACUCUGGCUCUGGAACUCACGGAAAGCCUGGACUAGACAGCAAGAAUCAACCUACAGGACACUGCCUUAUCAUCUAACACUUCCCAUCCUCUGAGGCCCCACCCUGCUAACACCAGAGCAAGAACACCUUAGUAGGCAGGCAAUCCACCAAUUACUUCCCAUUCAUCUCAUCCAUUGCCUCCUCCCUAGUGUCAGCUGGAGGCCUCUGACCUCUUCCUAACUCCAAAAGGAAUCUAGUCUAAGGGUUUUCUGGAGUUUCAUCCUUAAAUAUCAUCACGCUGAGAAAACAGGAUCUUCUCUGGGAAGCACAGAUUUGUCACAAACGCCCCCCCACCAGGCCCCAGAGGCCCUUGCCAGCUUUUUCUUCCACUUGCAUACCAAACUGGGCAACCCCUACUCCGGAUACAAAACCCAACACAUCCCGACUCCAUUCAUUCACCCCUGCCUGUCCUCUCUCCUGGGAUACCCCCAGUUACUUUCCUCUGCUUAUAAGUACCCUUUCCCCUUUCAAAAUCUAACCCCAAUUCCCUCCUCCCCUAAACCUACUCAUUGGAUCUAACUGGUGAACUGGAGUCAGAGAGGAGGACUUGGGUUCCAUGCAUCGACCACAGAAGCCCCGGUGUCCUAAGCGGAGCCUGCCUCAUCCUUUCCACUGCCAGCUGCAAAACUGAGAAGGACGUUUUCUUUUGUCUUUUUUGUCUUUUCUAGGGUCGCACCUGUGGCAUAUGGAGGUUCCCAGGCUAGGGGUUGAAUCGGAGCUACAGCUGUCGGCCACAGCAAUGCCAAAUCCUUAACCCGCUGAGCGAGGCCAGGGAUCCAACCUGCAACCUCAUGGUUCCUAGUUGGGUUGUUAACCACUGAGCCACAAUGGGAACUCCCAAGAAGGACGUUUUCUUCCCAACUAGAGAGACACCAACGUCUGCUGGCACAAGGCAUAGCACUGUUUGUUCUCGCUUGGUGUUUACCUUACAAUAUAAUCACCGUUACGAUAAUCACAACCACCCAUUUCCCACACUCUACUCUCACCAACCACAGUCUGUCACACCGGGCUGAGUUCUAGAGGUAGAAGAACGCGGGGAGAUCACAACACAGUCACCAGCCUGAGCCCUUCUCCCCACUGUCACCCCAGGCCUAUGGCCUAGACUGGUAAUCCCAGCCAACUACCUCUUGACUGCAGAAUUUUCUCAGCCCUGACAGGACUGACUGGGAUGGGCAUUCUUCUCUGGAUGCUUAGCCUUGGCUGGUGGCCUGGACAAGAAAUUUUUCAGACCUAGUUAGUACCUGUGCUUGCAAGACCUCAA
rnacentral:lncRNA from 1 species